GAUCAUGGCUCAGGAUGAACGCUAGCGACAGGCUUAACACAUGCAAGUCGAGGGGCAGCAUAAAAGUAGCAAUACUUGGUGGCGACCGGCGCACGGGUGAGUAACGCGUAUGCAACCUACCUAUCAGAGGGGAAUAACCCGGCGAAAGUCGGACUAAUACCGCAUAAAACAGGGGCACCGCAUGGUGAUAUUUGUUAAAGAAAUUCGCUGAUAGAUGGGCAUGCGUUCCAUUAGGUAGUUGGUGAGGUAACGGCUCACCAAGCCGACGAUGGAUAGGGGAACUGAGAGGUUGGUCCCCCACACUGGUACUGAGACACGGACCAGACUCCUACGGGAGGCAGCAGUGAGGAAUAUUGGUCAAUGGGCGGGAGCCUGAACCAGCCAAGUCGCGUGAAGGAAGAAGGAUCUAUGGUUCGUAAACUUCUUUUGCAGGGGAAUAAAGUGCAGGACGUGUCCUGUUUUGUAUGUACCCUGAGAAUAAGGAUCGGCUAACUCCGUGCCAGCCGCGGC
rnacentral:rRNA from 1 species